rnacentral:rRNA from 1 species
UGGGGAAUAUUGCACAAUGGAGGGAACUCUGAUGCAGCGACGCCGCGUGAGUGAUGAAGGCUUUCGAGUCGUAAAACUCUGUCCUUGGGGACGAUAAUGACGGUACCCAAGGAGGAAGCCCCGGCUAACUACGUGCCAGCAGCCGCGGUAAUACGUAGGGGGCGAGCGUUGUCCGGAAUUAUUGGGCGUAAAGGGUUCGCAGGCGGCCGAUUAAGUCAGAUGUGAAAUCCCACGGCUUAACCGUGGUAAGCAUUUGAAACUGAUUGGCUUGAGUUAAGGAGAGGAAAGUGGAAUUCCUAGUGUAGCGGUGAAAUGCGUAGAUAUUAGGAGGAAUACCAGUGGCGAAGGCGACUUUCUGGACUUAUACUGACGCUGAGGAACGAAAGCGUGGGGAGCAAACAGG